rnacentral:rRNA from 1 species
CUUGUUGGUGAGGUAAUUGCUUACCAAGGCAACGAUCAGUAGCUGGUCUGAGAGGAUGAUCAGCCACACUGGGACUGAGACACGGCCCAGACUUCUACGGAAGGCAGCAGUGAGGAAUUUUCCGCAAUGGGCGAAAGCCUGACGGAGCAAUGCCGCGUGGAGGAUGACAGCCUGUGGGUCGUAAACUCCUUUUCUCAGAGAAGAAGUUCUGACGGUAUCUGAGGAAUAAGCAUCGGCUAACUCCGUGCCAGCAGCCGCGGUAAGACGGAGGAUGCAAGCGUUAUCCGGAAUGAUUGGGCGUAAAGCGUCUGUAGGUGGUUUAUUAAGUCUACUGUUAAAGAUCAGGGCUUAACCCUGAGUCGGCAGUAGAAACUAAUGAGCUUGAGUACGGUAGGGGCAGAGGGAAUUCCCGGUGGACGGUUA